GGAGGCCAGUGUGGAGGGCGUGUACAGAGGCAGACGGCACUAGUGGUUAAGCUGUGCGCGUUCAGAGUGUUGGCGAGUCGAUGAGGAUAGUAUGGAGGCCUUCAGUGUCGUUAGAGAGAAGGUGCAUCGCCUCGUGUCUCGUGUUCACGGAGUGGAUUGGUGGUGGCGAGGGUGGCGGGUGGUGGGCAUGCGCGAUCACGGCUGUGAGCUGAGAGCCUCUCAGAGUAUAGGCGACUGGAGUCCCUAAGCCAUGAAGUGAAUGGCGUGUGGCGGUGUGGUGAAGCGUGGCGUGUCCCUCGAUCUGGUGCUGAGCGCGGUACUUGGUUUUGACUUACUGCCUAAACACGGGCUUACUGAUGGCUGUGACACGCACCAAGGGCGAUAAUGGCGAUGCCAGGAAGGAAAACCUGUGCUAAGUUCUGAGGUGCGGUGACAAAAUUGCUGUGUUGUGAGUGAAUAAAAUUCGUUCCGUAAGCCGCGGCCGCCUGUCACUGAUGUUCUGCUGUUACGUUGUUGUUGCCGUGAUUCAGUUACACAGUGAAAGAGAUCGUCGUGAUCCCAGUGCAGUACUGUAAUGCCGUGCUGCCGGGAGUGUUGCCGUGCUGCCUUGCUGCCAGGAAGUGCUGUCGUGUGCUGGGAAGUGUUGCCGCGCUGCCGGCAGGAGUAAGUGGACCUGCUGGUGGACUACAGGCUGAACACAAGCAUUGACAAGCAGUACAGGGCAUUUCAUGAUGACUUCUGCAGGGUGUGGGACGGUAUUGUGCUCAAACUUUUCCAGCCAAUGGAACUUAUGGAUUUGGUCACCGGCAAUGAAAAUUAUUUCUGGACUGAGUUGGAAAAGAAUGCUGAAUAUAAGAUUAAGUUAGUUAAGGGUGAGUACUUCCCAGACCAUCCAGUCACUCGCACGUGCUUGGAAGUCUUUCGUGAGCUCUCGCUGGAACAGAAAAUGUUUUCAAGUUUCUGACGGGGACUCACCAGGUUCUUCUACUAGGCAUG